AACGUACGCUGGCGGCACGCCUAACACAUGCAAGUCGAACGAAGUAGCAAUACUUAGUGGCAGACGGGUGAGUAACAUGUAGGUAUCUGCCCUUUGGCCUGGAAUAACACGAGGAAACUUGUGCUAAUACCGGAUAAGUCUUUACGGAGAAAGCUUUAUGCACCAUUGGAUGAGCCUGCACUUGAUUAGUUUGUUGGUGGGGUAAUGGCCUACCAAGACUGUGAUCAAUAGCUGAUUUGAGAGGAUGAUCAGCCACAUUGGGACUGAGACACGGCCCAAACUCCUACGGGAGGCAGCAGUGGGGAAUCUUGCACAAUGGAGGAAACUCUGAUGCAGCGAUGCCGCGUGAGUGAAGAAGGCCUUUGGGUUGUAAAGCUCUUUCGUCGGGGAAGAAAAUGACUGUACCCGAAUAAGAAGGUCCGGCUAACUUCGUGCCAGCAGCCGCGGUAAUACGAAGGGACCUAGCGUAGUUCGGAAUUACUGGGCUUAAAGAGUUCGUAGGUGGUUGAAAAAGUUGGUGGUGAAAUCCCAGAGCUUAACUCUGGAACUGCCAUCAAAACUUUUCAGCUAGAGUAUGAUAGAGGAAAGCAGAAUUUCUAGUGUAGAGGUGAAAUUCGUAGAUAUUAGAAAGAAUACCAAUUGCGAAGGCAGCUUUCUGGAUCAUUACUGACACUGAGGAACGAAAGCAUGGGUAGCGAAGAGGAUUAGAUACCCUCGUAGUCCAUGCCGUAAACGAUGUGUGUUAGACGUUGGAAAUUAUUUUCAGUGUCGCAGCGAAAGCGAUAAACACACCGCCUGGGGAGUACGACCGCAAGGUUAAAACUCAAUGAAUUGACGGGGACCCGCACAAGUAGUGGAGCAUGUGG
rnacentral:rRNA from 1 species